UACGGAGGGUGCAAACGUUGCUCGGAAUCAUUGGGCGUAAAGCGCACGUAGGCGGCUCGUUAAGUCGGAUGUGAAAGCCCCGGGCUCAACUCGGGAAGUGCAUUCGAAACUGGCGAGCUUGAAUAUGGAAGAGGGUCGCGGAAUUCCCGGGUGUAGAGGUGAAAUUUCGUAGAUAUCGGGAGGAACACCAGUGGCGGAAGGCGGCGACC
rnacentral:rRNA from 1 species